AUUGAACGCUGGCGGCAGGCCUAACACAUGCAAGUCGAGCGAGCGGCGGACGGGUGAGUAAUGUAUGGGGAUCUGCCUGAUGGCGGGGGAUAAAUACUGGAAACGGUAGCUAAUACCGCAUACCAUCAGAUGAACCCAUAUGGGAUUAGCUUGUAGGUGAGGUAACGGCUCACCUAGGCGACGAUCCCUAGCUGGUCUGAGAGGAUGAUCGGCCACACUGGUACUGAGCCACGGCCCAGCCCCCUCCGGUAGGCAGCAGUGGGGAAUAUUGCACAACGGGCGCAAGCCUAAUGCUGCCAUGCCGCGGGUAUAAAGAAGGCCUUAGGGUUUUAAAGUACUUUCAGUCGGGAGGCGUUACCGACAGAAGAAGCGCCGGCUAACUCCGUGCCAGCAGCCGCGGUAAUAC
rnacentral:rRNA from 1 species